rnacentral:rRNA from 1 species
GACGAACGCUGGCGGCGUGCUUAACACAUGCAAGUCGAACGGAAAGGCCCUGCUUGCAGGGUACUCGAGUGGCGAACGGGUGAGUAACACGUGGGUGAUCUGCCCUGCACUUCGGGAUAAGCCUGGGAAACUGGGUCUAAUACCGGAUAGGAGCCAUUUUUAGUGUGAUGGUUGGAAAGUUUUUUCGGUGUAGGAUGAGCUCGCGGCCUAUCAGCUUGUUGGUGGGGUAAUGGCCUACCAAGGCGGCGACGGGUAGCCGGACUGAGAGGGUGGACGGCCACAUUGGGACUGAGAUACGGCCCAGACUCCUACGGGAGGCAGCAGUGGGGAAUAUUGCACAAUGGGCGCAAGCCUGAUGCAGCGACGCCGCGGGGGGGAUGACGGCCUUCGGGUUGUAAACUCCUUUCGCUAGGGACGAAGCUUUUUGUGACGGUACCUAGAUAAGAAGCACCGGCUAACUACGUG